rnacentral:lncRNA from 1 species
GACGCACCGAGUUGCGCCACACAACCUGAGUAUAGUGCCCACACUCUCCACCAACGCAUGAGUUGGAGUUGUAGUCAUAAUAAGGCUUCUCCCCCACCCACAAGUUCACCGCAUCGGUGCCUGUCAAUGAACCGCUGCCUUUGGCCAGGUUCUCACCGUAAGGCCCACCUGAGUGCACUAGAUUGCAGUCGCUAAUCCUCUGGUUAGCAUAGUUCUGGGCGUAGGCAGCUACAGUGUCGUUCCAUGUUAUAGACCCAACGCCAACUUGGGCCCGCGCUGCAUUGUGAGCAUCGACGUAGUCCUGUGGAGAGUUCUGGGCACAGCAGGUGUGAGCUAGGGCUAACCCCAUGAGACCAACAAGGAGCGCCAUUGAAAUCUUACACAACCCCAUCUUUUAGUUUCUUUGAUGACAAGUGAGGGCUGGGUUGAAGGGUAUUUAUAGGGGAAAUAGAAGCAUCAUAAUCUCCAAGUCUUGCUCCCCCUAACUUCCCCCUUUGAUACAGUCUGUGUGGCGGCCUUCACACGUAAAGAUCAACAACUGAUAAAAUAGUUGGCACUAAGAUCAAAAUGACUUCCAUGCAUGUUCAAUUUUUUCCUAAGAAGCAAUCAACAAUACAUGAAAACGACUUCCAUGCAUGUUCUUUCUUUUAUUCAAAAUAAAACAGCUCUUUGAAAUCACAGUUUUGCAGUUCAAAAAAUCGGUUUUUAUUAAUAUUUAUUUUUAAAAAUUUACCCUAAACGCUUCAAUUAGAAAAUGCGAGCUUUAUAAAAUUCAAAAGACAAAAACACCUUAAAAUCCAUAUUUUUCUAAAUGGGAUUUGAGAGUAGUUGUAAAAAUAUAAAAAAAUUUAAAAUUACAUCAGCCCCUAUUUUUAUACAAAUAAGCAAUUUUAAAGUGCUUUUUUUUUUCUUUUCUUUUGUUUGAAAAUGUCAACUUAAUUAGUCUAUUUUAUAUAUAUAAACCUUUGAUCACGGACGAAUUUACACGUGCUUCUUCAAAUUCUGCAAAUACGUACAAAGUAUCCUAACUUAAACCUCUGAUGAAGGACGAGCUUACAUGUGCUUCUUCAACUUCUGCAAAUACAUACAAAUUAUCCUAACCGGUUUGCUUACUUGACUGAACUAAGUGUUUGGUCUUUUAAUGUUAGAUUUCGAGAUUUCGUGGAAAAGUGGUUAAGACAGAGUUUUGGGACGGUCAUCAAAGUUGAAUAAUUUAUCAUGUGACACAUUAUUUGAGCAAACAAGUUGAUAGCGUAUGUGAUUUUUUAUGCUCGUUGUCAACCUCAAAUCCAAAAUAAAUAUAUGACUUUGAAAUGGUAAAAUAUUCAGUAUGAUUUUCUUCUUUACCCUUAUGCUAGGCUAUUAUCGUGGGUUGAUGGCGCGAGGUACUAGGGUCAUUGUAAUUUCCUGAUGUACUCGCCUCCUCAACUGAAAAUGAUGCUUCCUUCCUUCGCCCUACAAAAGAUGUCUGGACAGGGGGUCCGGACACACUCUCUAAAGCCUUUGUUAGUUUGAUAAUCCAGCAAAUUGAUAUUCUUGGGCCCUUUUCUUUUAGGAAUGCUUAACCUUUUUUUUUUUUCGACUGGGUCGUCGGGGGCCUUUUAUAGUGCUUGGAGCCUCGUCACUUCGAAGGUGUGAAGACUCUUUGACUUUUGCGAUCAUGAUGGUAUUCAGAGGGUGACAGAGCCAUCAUUAUCCUGCAGGCGGCUGACAGAGAUCGUUGGGGGGAUGAUUUGUCAUCACCCUUGUCUUUUCACUCUGUAGGCGGUGUAGGGCAGGUCGUGGCAGGUCGCCUGAAGAGACCCAAGAAGGUCCAUCGAGUAUGCUUUUGGCGAAAUGAGUAAUGAUUGCCCACAAAAUACGGCCAGGAAUUUUGUUUGGGACGCCAGCUAUUAGGUCCGGACUGGACAUCCACAUAGGGGGUGGGGAGGCCACAUGUCAGUCCAUGUGAUCGUCCGGACAGGGGGUGAGACAUGCCAGGUGUCCAAUGGAGGAGUGCCUUGUGAGGCCGUCACGUGUACGCUUAGGCAGUCCCUACAGGUAUCACUAGUGGUUUCGACUAAUGGUAGCAAAAGAAGAACAAAGGUACUUGAUAGGAUGCUUAUUCCAACAAGUUAAUAUAUAUAUAUAUUUUAAUCAAAUGAACGUUAUUAGAAACAUUUUCAAAACUUUAAUUUAUUUAUUUUUUUAUUUUUUAUUUUUAAAUUUACAUUUAAACAAUAUUGGAUUCUCUAUGAAAGGGUUUAAAAGUACAUUUGAAAGUGAUUUUGAUAAGUGUUUUUAGUCUUUCUAAUACUUAAAAAAUAAAAAAUUUCAAGUGUUAGAAAAACUAAAAGCACUUUCUAGAAUCAUUGCUAAAUGCACUCUAAAUACAAUUAAAAGUGUUUUUACAAGAAUUACUCCAAAUCACAUUAAUAAAAUUGUGAUGAUUUUUGGUGAAAAUUUAUAUGAUGUUAGAUGUAAUUCUUUUUUCAUCUAAGGUUCUAGAUAUUAUACUGUUUGAUUGGAUAAGAUAUGACAAAAAGAUAUCAUGAUUUCUAAUGAGAUAUGACUUUGGAUAUUUUAUCAAAUGAAAAUGGUAUCUUAAGACAUUAUAUUAAAUAAGAUUUGUUAUGAUCAUAUUUAAUUUAUAAAAUAAAUAAAUGGAAUGUAUAAUAUAUUGCAUUUUAAUGUUCAAUAUUUUUUCUAAAAUAAAAAUUAUAUUGAUUCCUAAUGUUUGUUUUUAAAUAAAUAUGAGAUUGUUGUAAAAUAAAAAAAUGAGAAGAAAAAAAGAGGAUGGAAUAAAUAUGAAUACUCAGAGAAAAAUAGAAUAUUAUUUCAUUAGCAAGUCUCCUCAUUUUAUAGAGAGUUAGGAAGAGAUUUGUAUCAAUAUGGAUAAUCAUCCAUAAGUUGUCACAAUCAGAAAAAUUCUCAUAUUUUAUAACACUCCUCUGUAGAUGAUCAUAAGAAUAAUAUACCUCCUUAAACCUUCCUAGAAAAAAUCUUAUGAGAAAAACCUUUGUAAAGUAAAAAAAGUACAAAAUUCUUUAGAAUUAUUACGAUUGCCUUAUUAAAAACCUUGCCAAGAAAACCUAGUGAGAUAAAAUCUGGAUGAAGGGAAAAAACAUAUAAUGUAGUGAUAUCCUUAUCAAUUUGUUUCCACUCAUGUUGGUAUGAUUAUAUUUUCUCUUGUAACUCAAUAUCGAGAUCUUUGAGUUGGCGUAUUUCAAUGUUAUAUAUGAGUUUCUUGAGUGUUGCAGUUGACAAUGCGUUUGUGAAUAGGUCUACUAAAUUGUCAUUAGAUCUUACUCAUUGAACAAUCAUUUCACCACUCUUCUAGAGCUUAGAAGUGUAAAUGAAUUUGAGUGUUAUAAACUUAGUUCCAUCACCUUGAAUGCAUCAUUCUUUAAUUUGUGCAAUGCAUGCAAUAUUAAUAUCAUGUAACAUUGUUGAAUUGUCUUUAAUGGAAGAUAGUCCGUAUGAUUCUUGAGUAUAUUGGAUUACAAAUCUCAACCACACACUUCUUGACUUUCUUCAUGGAUUGCACGUAUUUCUAAAUGAUUUGAAUAACAACUAUUAUAAGUUUUAUUGAUCACCAUGAUAUUGCAGUAUUACCAUAGGUAAACAAAUAUCCUAUUUGAGACCUUGCCUUGUAAGGCAAUCACCUUGGGGGAUGGGAGGGAUGAAGAGGAUGAUGGUCACUUUUUGAAAAAAAUUAAACUAUAUGAAAGCAAGUGACAAGUAUAUCCAAUUAAAUAAUAAAUACAAUGAAAAGUAAUUGCAUAUAAAGUAAAAAGAUAAGGAAAAGAGAUUGCAAACUUAAGAGUUUUAUAGUGGUUUGGAGUAACUCGACCUAUGUCCGCUCUCCUUAAUGUCAUGGACUUAGUCUUUUUCUAAGCUCGUGCGGCACUUAGACAAGUCAAGACACUUGAUCUUGCUAAGUCAGCCUUACUCCCAAUGCUUAGCUUUCUAGGCUAAGAUGCCUACGACUCGGAAGCUUUAAAAGGUGUAGUAGGCGAUGCUUAAAGAAUGAAAGCUUUUGUUACUCAAAGGAAGCUUUACAAGUGCUUUGGGAACUCACUUGCUUGGUUGGUUAGGUUCUUGGGUGGUGCCUUGGCCAAAUGAGGGCCUCACCUAUUUACAGGCAUCAGUGAAACUCUCUGGAACCUUGGAGGGUUCCUUACAACUUAAGAAUAAUCUAGAACUUCCUACACAAUUCUAUGUACAAACCUAUGUAUAAGAAUAUACAAGAGAUUCCUAGAAUUCUCUAGAAAGCCUUAGACUCCUCUCAUACCUUCCACCAUAGUGUAGAGAUGUGUGGACAUCUCUAGGCGUCUCUAGAACCUUCCAUACUCUUCUCACCAAUGGCUUAGUGUAGAUGGCUCCAGGAGUCUCCAAAAGCUUUCUGUCCUCUAUAUAACCCCUAUGGGGAGGGUCAUUUGAAACAUCUUAUGACACUCCCCCCCACCUAUGCCGUCGACGUCCUCAUUGUUGCCACUUCUUGAAACUUCUCGAUGAGUUUCCAGAACCUUCUAAAGGAAUCCGCAUGUUCCCAGCUUACCUGCCUCUUAGGUAGUCCUUUCCGUAGGACUAGAUACUCUAUCACAAGAGAGACCCCUUGUCUCCUGGUAACCCAUUGAACCAAGAUAUUUUUCACCUCCUUUUCCCGUGAGACCUCGGAUGGAUGCAGACCCUUUCACUUUUGAUGCUUGGAGUGCUGCUUCCUCUUACCCAUCGAAUUCACCUUUCCCUUGUUGACCUUGUCCAUGUGUGUGUGAGCUACCUCAACUCGCUCUCCUUUUGCCUCAUUUACUUGCACCCCUGAUAGUAAGGAGAUCUUAGGUGUACUAGGCUUUGGGUUGACUUAGAGGGCACCUAGUAGCUGCACCAAGCCCAUAUGUGCUUCGUGUUCCUACUCCCUCUCCUCGAUCAUACCAUUGAACGCCUUCUUCUUUGGAUAAUCCCAUGCCCAAUGUGGACCAUCACAUAGGAAGCAUUUGAUUUUAGGUGUAAACUCUUUCCUUUCCUCCUUACCCCUUCCUUCCUGGACGUUAAGUGUCUUGCUUGAUCCCAUUCUAGGAGCAUUGUGGUCCCUUGAAACCUCAUCUCUCCCACCUAUGGCGUGGCUAUCCUCCAAAGACUCAACCUUGAAGGAGUCUCCCCUCUUGUAAUCCGUUAAAGACUCUGCUAUUGCCAUAGCAAUGGCUAAGUCUUGAACGCCUUGGCGCCUUAAUUCCUACUCAGCCCACCCUUGCAGGUUAUCCAUGAAGUUGAAUAGCAACUCCUCCUUAGUCAUGUUAGGAAUCUUAAGCAUGAGCGAAGAGAAUUCCUUGACAUAGUCGCGUAUUGAGCCUGUGUACUUAAGACACCUCAUGUUUUUCCUAGCUAGGUAAGCCACAUCUUCGGGGUAGAACUGCCUCUUGAAGUUCUCCCACGUCUCUAUGGUACAAAUGCCUUUCUCCAUAUUGGCGAACCUCCGACGCCACCAUAGAGUAAUUAUGUGAGUAAGGUAGAGGGUUGCAGUCCUUACCUUAACUGCCUCAUUAGUCAAUGCGAUAGCCUCAAAGUAUCGCUCCAUAUGCCAUAAGAAGUUGUCCAACUCCUUGGCAUCCCGUUUGCCACUAAACCCUUAUGGCUUCGACACCUCCAUCCUAAAUGCCUCUUGUGUGGCCAUCACUCGUGCCAACAUAGCAGCCUUGUAGAUGGCUAACUCCUACCUAACCUCCUGGUCUGGAGACUCAAUUCGAGUGGCCAAGGCCUCUAUCCUUGACUCCAUGCUAGCAAGCAUGCUCAAGACCUUUUCUUGGAAGGACACAAACUCCUCAUGUGACACUGGCUGAACCUAUGAGACUAGCACCCCCUCACGAAGGUCUUGGAUCUGCUCCCUUAAAUCCUCUAAGCCCUUCUCCAUGCCUUGCUCGAUCAAGUCCAACCUCUCCUGAGUGUCUGCCAUGGCUAGCUCUAUCUUAGCUAACCUUACCUCCAUGUUGCCAACAACAUAACGAGAUUUAUCCUUCUUGCCCCUGCCACGUGCAUCAGGUUCGAUCUCCCUCCCAUGGGUUUGCUCACUAGUCUCAUCCAAGUUGGAGCCUGACAUGCUUCAUUUACUAUGCCCGCUUUGUAGCAGCGCUUUGAUAUCACUUGUCACGGACUUAGUCUUUUCCUAAGCUUGUGCAAUACUUAGACAAGUCAAGACACUUGAUCGUGCUAAGUCAACUCUCAAUUCUUAGCUUUCUAGGCUAAGAUGCUCAUGAAUCGAAAGCUUUACAAGUGCUUUGGGAACUCACUUGUUUGGUUGGUUAGGUUCUUGGGUGGUGCCUUGGCCAAAUGAGGGCCUCACCUAUUUAUAGGCACCAAUGGAACUCUCUAAAACCUUGGAGAGUUCCUUACAACUCAAGAAUAAUCUAGAACCUCCUACACAAUUCUAUGUACAAACCUAUGUACAAGAAUAUACAAGAGAUUCCUAGUAUUCUCUAGAAAGCCUUGGACUCUUCUCAUGCCUUCCACCAUAGUGUAGAGAUAUGUGGACAUCUCUAGGCGUUUCUAGAACCUUCCAUACUCUUCUCAUCAAUGGCUUAGUGUAGAUGGCUCCAGGAGUCUCCAGAAGCUUCAUGCCUUCUAUAUAACCCCUAUGGGAAGGGUCAUUUGAAGCAUUUUGUGACAUUAAGUUCCUAAUUGAAUGAGGGUUCCACUAUUUCAAGACUUUCAACACAAGCCUCCAAGCAUUACAAUUGGAUUAUGGUUCCAAUCAACCUUCUUGGAUUUAUGACUCCAAGUACUUUCUUGUAUUAUGGUUCUAAGCACCCAUAACAAUCCUUAAGAGAUACCUUACUUUUAAUAAUCUCUCAAGUGAUACUCCACACUUGAGAUACCUCACACUUAGAUUUUUUUUCUUCUCAAAGGUUUACAAGAAAUGAUAGGAAAUAUUUUCACAAAAUACUGAUAUAAAAUUUAGGUGUAAAUGAUACAAAAUAAACAAAGAUUAGGUGUAUUCAUGGAUAUGCAAGUUUAAAAACAAAGUGUACUCAAUUUAUAAAUCUUACUCACCAAAUCAAAGAAAGAUGGAGCCUUUAAAUAGAGUUUGGAAGCCCAAACUAGCUGUUAGACAAGUUUAGGGGUUGGCUAGUCGAGUAACCGACUUGAUCGAUUCACUAACUAUUAGCAUUUAAUAUUCUAGAAAAUGAUAAUUGGAGUUUAAGCCCUUAAUUGGUUGGGCAACCGGUUCAACUAAACUAGUUUGGCCUCAAUUGGUUGCACCUUAGCUAUUGGAAAUCAAAGGUGCACAAAAUGCCCCUUGAUCAAUUGGGUCCAAUUGGCUCAAUUGUUGCCUUAAACCCUCGAUUGGUUGCACUAGAAUGCUUAAAACUCAUUUUUGAGAUCUAGAACCUCCAAAACCUUUUGUAGAAAUUUAAAAACCUUUUAAAGAUAUUUUAGAAAUCAUUUGGUUCAAGGUUUUGAUUGAAAAUGUGAAAUCAUCCCAUUAUAAAAGAAUUUAAAACAAUUUAUUACUUGGAUGAUUUCAUUUGGUUCAAGGUUUUGAUUGAAAAUGUGAAAUCAUCCCAUUAUAAAAAAAUUUAAAACAAUUUAUUACUUGGAUGAUUUUUGGUGCUUAAGUAAAAGUGAAAUGAAUGAAAAACCUAGCGCACUCAUAACCUUACAAAGAGAUCUUAGACAAUCUUUCUCUUUGAGAUUUUUUUUUCUUAAUUUCCCUUGUAUAUAAUAUAUCUGUAGACCCUCAAUUUUGUCCCUCGACACUGGCAUUUAUCCUUCAAGUGUCACAUCCACCCAUCGUUCGCAUAUGGCACCACUAGGGCCCCUUUUGGGCUUAGUCGGUGUCCGAGACUCGUGUGGGUUUGUCUGUGGUCCAUUGUGGUGCAUAUGUGGUUCAUUUUGGAGGGUCACCACGGCCAUUUUCCUAGUCGUUCACAUCACGCUAUAGGAAGGAAGUGGGGUCAUCCUGAUGUUUUAGCUUAGUUGGAGUUUAUAGGGGCAUGUUGAGGUUCGAAGCACUCGGGCUUGUUUUGAUCGUAUCUCCCUCAUCCAAACUCGGAAUCAAGAACCGUUUCUUUUUAUGGAUUCCUUAUUCUUCCAGGAACAUUCUGUAAAAUUUUCAAAAUUUUUUGCAACCGUUCGGCUGGUUGGCAACCGGUUCAGCCGGUUCGGCCGGUUCAUCAAGUCAGCCGGUGUAGAACACUGAUUUUUGGUAAUUGUUUUGAUCAUAUCUCCCUCUUCCGAACUUGGAAUCAAGCACCAUUUUUUUUAAUGGAUUCCUCACUCUACUAGGAACAUUCUGUCAAAUUUUCAUAUUUUUUUUCCAUCGGGUCGACCAGUUGGCAUCCGGUUCGGCCGGUUCAGCCGGUUCAUUGAGUCAGCUGAGGUAAAACACUAAUUCUAGUAAUUUUGAGGCCCAAAUCCUACAUGGCCUAGGCCCGUAAGCUCCAGAUCGGUUUUGGGCAAUGUUGUGGGUCCAUUUUGGGCCUUGGUUUGGGUUCCUUGCAGCCCACCACGAAUCCAUAUGGAUUCUUGGUGGUGAAGCAAGCUGAAAACUGAAGGAGUGAGCUGGCCUUGUAAGUUUAAGAGAAGUAAUGAGGGGUGUGGUUCCCAUGCUGAUGAAGGGGAUUUUGGUGCUGAAGGGGAUGAAGGGGAUUUUGGUGCUGAAGGGGAAGGAAUCCAGGAGGCUCAAAUGUUAAGAGGGGAUGAGUAUAAAAGGUGCAAUGAUAGGAGAGCAAAGGAGAUGAGGGGACAUUUUGGAGAGGGGAAAUUUUGCUGGUGAGAAAAACAAAAGGUCAGUAGCAUCUUCUGAGUUGAGAGCGUGGGGGAAAGCUUCAGCACUAUGGUUUUUUAAAGAGGAGAGUGACAGCAUCUCAGUUUUGGAAGUCAUCAUCUGCAUACACAGAUCAUAUUUGGUGGAGAUUCUAAGGUAAGCAUGCUGAAUUUUCUUUACUUACAGUUUAUCUUCCUCGUCUUCAUAUACUUUUUCUCCUUCCUCAUCAUCUUUUCUUCCCUUUGAUAUGAAGAUUGUAUUGCUUGGGUGUGGAUAAUAAAGGUCACACAUGAUUGUUGUUGUUUGCUUCCUUAAUCACUUAGGAACUUUCUGACCGAAUUUGGGAUUUUUUACCAACCGACUGAACCGGUUCAACCGGUUCAGCACCAUAGCUGGCAGCCUCUGUCAGCCAUGAAGAACAUUUGUCUUUCUUUGUCUAGUUCUCACUCAUCCGGGCUCGGAAUUGAGAACCGUUUCUUUUGUUUGCUUCCUUAAUCACUUAGGAACUUUCUGACCGAAUUUGGGAUUUUUUACCAACUGGCUGAACCGGUUUGGAACCAGUUCAACCGGUUUGGAACCGGUUCAACCGGUUCAGCACCAUAGCUGGCAGCCUCUGUCAGCCAUGAGGAACACUUGCCUUUCUUUGUCUGGUUCUCACUCAUCCAGGCUCGGAAUUGAGAACCGUUUCUUUUGUUUGCUUCCUUAAUCACUUAGGAACUUUCUGACCGAAUUUGGGAUUUUUUAACAACCGGCUGAACUGGUUUGGAACCGGUUCAACCGGUUCAGCACCAUAGCUAGCAACCUCUGUCAGCCAUGAGGAACACUUGCCUUUCUUUGUCUGGUUCUCACUCAUCCGGGCUCGGAAUUGAGAACCGUUUCUUUUGUUUGCUUCCUUAAUCACUUAGGAACUUUUUGACUGAAUUUGGGAUUUUUUACCAACUGGCUAAACCGGUUCAGCACCAUAGCUGGCAGCCUCUGUCAGCCAUGAGGAACACUUGCCUUUCUUUGUCUGGUUCUCACUCAUCUGGGCUCGGAAUUGAGAAUCGUUUCUUUUGUUUGCUUCCUUAAUCACUUAGGAACUUUCUGACCGAAUUUGGGAUUUUUUAUCAACCGGAUGAACUGGUUGGGAACCAGUUCAAUAGGUUCAGCACCGUAGCUGGCUGCCUCUGUCAGUCAUGAGGAACACCUGCCUUUCUUUGUCUGGUUCUCACUCAUCCGGGCUCAGGAUUGAGUGUCGUUUCUUUUGUUUGAAUCCUCACUCAUUUAGGAGUUUUCUAGAAAAAUUUGGGAAUUCUUCUCAAUAGGUUGUACCAGUUGAGAACUAGUUCAACCUGUUCUGUUGGAGGACUUUAGGAAGCCCUCGAUUUUGGCAUUUUUCGAGCCCUUAUCCAUGGGGGCUCAAACCCUUUUGCUAUAGGGCACUUGUGAGCCAUCUUGAAGGUUUAAGUCAGUGUUUGAUUUCAGUUAGUAUGGGCAAUUUUGAAGUUAUGGGUGGUGUGGUCUAGAUGAGUCUAGUUUGAUUUGUAUGACAUUUGGGGAGUCCCUUACCUCAUUUCAACCAACUAUCUUCCUUUUUUGGCACAAGCUUUGAUGCUUGAUUUUGAAUGCAUGUUGCAUGACUGACUCACCCUCUGCUGCAGCGCUUGGCUAGGGACCACAGGUACGCAUCGUUGGCUUUGGUUGUCGAAUUCAUAUGCAUGCAUGGUGCUUAAUCUUGAAUGUUUGUUAUGUGUUUAUCUGUGUUUGGCUGACCUUUUAUGCAGCGCUUGGCUAGGGACCACAGGUACGCACCCAUUGUUUUGUUUGGUUGAAUUCAUAUGCAUGCCAAAUACCAAUUAGGAUUGUGUGAUUCAUGACAUCUAUUUAGCCUAGGGUUUCAUUUGACCUUUGACCCAUAUGCUCCCACAUACCCAAUUCAUUAGUAAAAACCGAGUUUCGGGCCUAGAGGGGUGCUACCUCGCAUGAGGUACCUUCCCAACGGGUAACCUGAUCCCCGGACCCAGAAUCUAGUUUUCGUAGACCACUUUUUCCAUACUGGGGUCAUUAGGGGUUUUUGUUCUUACUUAAUUUUCCCCAUUUUAAAAACAAAAAUAAAAAGUAAGUGGCGACUCCAAGCAACACCGUUCCUCACCGGGGGCGGGUUUUUCAAAACUGGAAAACACCAACUUUUUCAUUUCUUUCUUUUCUUUUAAAAGCGAGUCGCGUCGGUCCGGUGGAUCGGGUGAGGGUCCACAAUAUCUUUAAUUGCUACUUUGAAAAUCUUUUGACCUAAACACACUUAACAUAAAACAUUAAUUCCAAACCUUAUUUUGUUAUCAUCAAAAUUGAAAUUAACCAAACUUUGGUUUCACACCUAUUUUAAUUUCCUCAUUUAUUAUCCACUUUUUUUUAAAAAAAAAAUAUUUUAAGAAUAUUAUAAUAUAUAUAUAGAUAUAUAAACUUAGGUUUAUUCAUACAAAUUGAUAUAAAAAUAUCAUUUAAAAUCAAUAAACUUUUUAUAUUUAGAUAAAUAUCUAAAAAUAAAAUUUAACUUAAAAAAGAAAUGAUGUAAAAAGAUUGUAAAUAAUCAAAAAUAAAAAAAAGCAGGGCCUUGUAAAACUAUUUUUAAUUGAAAUUUUUUUAAGCAUUUAACUUCCCAUAAAAUGAAAAAUUUUUAGAUCUAAAUUUCUUAGUUUUAAAAAUAUUUAACAUAAUAUUAUAUCCAGUUACCAGAAAAUGGCUAGAAGGAAAAAUAAAUAAAAUAGAAAAAGUCUAACUAUUUUUUUUAUGUUUAAAUAAUAUGGACAAAAAUAAGAAAAAAAAGGUAAAAUAUUAAAAUAUUUUCCUCCUUAUUUUUCUAAGAAAAGCUGAAAUAAGUACAGAAAAAAAUUAUAAUUUUCUUUAAUUUUGCGUUUUUUUCUUCAAACUUUCCACAACCAGCCACAUGGUCUAAGUGAAAGCAUAAAUUAUAAAAAUUUUAUCUGUCUACGCAGUUUAAAAGCUUUGCCAAAUUGGGUCUUGGUAGACUUUAAAAAUACAAAAUAAAUUGAUCAGAUGGUUACAUAUAUAUAUAAGUCUUGAUAGCGCCCUGAUAAUGAGGCUACAACUUAGGAAUUACGUGUCCAAUUGCCAUGCUUGGAAAAAUCAAAAUGAUGGCUUUGUUGGAUGAAUCUAGAUGAAGUUUGGCCUACAUAUAAGGAAGAAUAACAUCAUGGUCGCUGGUGGUAGGCAUCAAUUCCGGGACAACCAUGAGCUUGUGCUGGAAAAUUCAGUAGACCCUCCAUUAGUGUAAUCUCUUAAUUGCCUUAACUUCUCUCCAUUUAAAGGCAAAGACUGGACUCAGUGGUAUGGCAUUGGGAUAGACCCAGAGUUCAGCUCAGUCCUAGGGCCCAAUUAAAGUUCUAGAUUGGGUUGAGUCUUAUAUAAAAGUGACAAUCUCUAUUUGUUAAUCUUUGUGUCAACUUAAUUUAUACUAUUAUUACUCAUGUAACCUAAUUCAUAUUUUAAAUCUAAUCUAUAUCACAAUUUAUUCUAAUAUUUUUGGAUGAUGCACAUCAAUUUGAAAAUUUUUGGUGUGUAUCAUAGCUCUUAAUAGCUCAAAUUUAUGUUACAUCCCUAUUCAAGACUUUCUCACAAUUUUCAAGUUUUGUAGUGCUUUUAUUAAAAGUGUGAUGAGCUUAGUGAGCGCAAGUAGGGGUUAUAAGGGUCAUUUUGAGCAUUUUUAGUAACUUCUAUGAAUUUUGGAAGGACAGGGGAGCCCAAAAGCAAGAGUAAAUUAGCAAGCUAAGCAAAACACAAUUAGCAUCUCCACAAGCUCGAUUCCAACUAGUUUUGAGUUUGGAGUUAUUUGAAAGGGUUAUAUGCAUCUUAAUAGAGUGGUAAAUUUUAUCAAGUUCUAGACUCUAAUAGGGAAGAAAAGGGGAGUUAGAGAUUUUAUUUUUAAAACAAAGAAAAUACCAUUGCAAGAUAGUAGCAUAAACUUCAACUUAAAUAUAAAAAACAGAACAAAAAAUAGCUAAUCUAAUAUUUGCUUUUUAAUUACAUCAAUUUACUAACUUUCCUAUAAGUGAGCCAACUUUAUUAUUAUUAGAUCAUCUAGUGAAAUAUCUCUCUUUUAUUUUGAUAACUUAGUUUUAGAUCAAGUUUUGAUAAUCUCAUCUAAAAAUUAAUUGGUAUCUUGAGGUUGGACUAAGUCUUUUAUAACAUUCAACCACCAUCAUCUGGGUGACCCAUCCAUUGAGCUUAAAGAGUGAAGUUGUUACACCCCAACAAUCUCUCCACUAACAUGAUGCUUCCCCGGCUUUAACUCAAGACAUUGACUUUGAUACCAAUUCGUGGAUCAAACUUUGAUCAUCUUAUUUGAAGACCAAUUGAUUUUUAGAUGAGAUGAUUAAAACUUAAUUCAAGACUUAGAAAGGUAUUUAUCAGUUCCUUCCCCUUAAAAAAACCUUGUCCUCAAGGUUGGAAGUAAGGAAAAUGACUAAUAAGCUUAUGCCAAUCUCCCUAGCUAGCAUCUUUUAGGGAAGAAUUAAAAUAAUGAACAAGAAUUGGAUCUUUGAAUUGUUCCCAUGUUUGAUAGCAUGUUGAUCAAGAAUUCUGAUUAGUUCAAACAACAUCUGUCCUUUAUCAUUAAUGGCUGGUAGCUCAAGUUUUGCAGUGUUUUUUCUAGCCAAUGGAUCUUUUUCUUUAAACCAGAUAGUGAAUUUUUGAAUGGGAAAGCAAUUCCAAAUAAUAAGCAACUACUCCUAUAUGGAAAUUCACCCUAAAAGGCCUAUAAAACCUUAGAGACAGCUAAUUGAUGCAUGGAAAGGCCACAUAGGCUUAUUAGUCUGGUUAUAGGUACAAUUACACCAUACCUCUCACAUCAAAAGACCUUUCUAUAUGAUGUUGAUUAGCUUGCUGAUUCAUAUGGCGUUGAGCCUUCUCCAAAUUUUCUUUCAAUAGUAGUAAGAUGGCAUGCAUUUCGAUCCGUAAGCGCUUGGCCUAUUGAUACUGCCUUGGUGUCACCUCGUGCAUACAUGGGCAGAGAUGACGAACUCUGACCAUAAUCCAUUUUAUGUAGAAUGAGCCUGAUGGCAGUGUGGAAGGAAGUAUUGAACCACCAUUCAACAAAUGGUAACUAAGGAGACCACUUUUUAGGAUGAUUGCCCAUGACACAAUAAAGAGAAUUUUUCAAACAAUGAUAAAGGCUCUUUUUAGGAAUUGUUUUUUAAAACACUUUUUGGUUCUUCAGAAAAAAAAAAAAAAAAAUUGAAAACAAUAUUUGACAACUGGAAAAUAGAAUUUUUUUUUUGGGACUAUUUUAACUUGUUUUAAAAAAUAAUUAUAUAAUAAAUACAUAAAAUUUAUUUUUAAAACAUAUUUAAAAAAAAUAGAAAACAUAUAUGUUAAGAAUAUUUCAUAUUCCAAAUUGACUUUUGUUAUACAACUUAAUGAAUUAAUAUGAUUUAAUGAUUUAAUUUAAGCCAUUGAGUAAAUUAAAUAUCUUUGGUAAAAUAAUUUAAUAUUACAAUUUAAAAUUACUUUUAACAUUAAAUAUUAAAUCAAAAAAAUUAACUCAUUUUUAAUUUUAAAUCUUUUUUGUUUUAUUUAACCCUAAAGUAUAUUUUAACAUUAUGAUUUUACAUCUAUGAUUCUUUUUUAAAAUAAAUAUUUUAUGGUUAUCAUACCCAUCUACAAUAUUUUAAAUAUGAAUAUUGUCUAAAUAAAAAUUACUUAAAAUUAUUGAAAAUAAAUAUGAGUUGAAAUCAAGGAAGAUAAAUAUUCAUUAAAAUUAAUAAGGGUAAAUAUGUUAAUUUGAUAAUUUAAAAUAAACUUUAAGUUAACUUUAUCAAAUACCUUAAGUAAAAUAAGUAAUAAAUUUUAAGUCAAUCACUUAAAAAUAAUUUAAUUUAAAGUUAACUUAAGUAAUUAAGUAAUAAAUAUCAAAUUUUAUCAAACACUUGAAACUCUAUAUCUUAUGAAAAAUUGUUUUUUUAGAACUACUUUUAAAAACGCUUUCUAAACAAAGCAUAAUCCUUAGUUUUUCCAUGAGAUUGUAGAUGAUAUGAUGAACUCAUAUAAAGUUGAGUGCUGCUCAAAGAGAGCUUGCCAGAAUAUGCUAGUAUAUAUGGGAUCUCUGUUGCUAACAAUGGUAGUGGGCAUGUCCAACAAGUGAACAACAUGUUGGAUAAAAAUCUUAGUAACUUCCUUGGCUGAAUAUCGAUGUCUUAAAGCAAUAAAGUAAUGGUAUUUUCUUAAUAUAUCCUUCAUGAGGAAAAUGGCAUCUUUCCCAUGUGAGCGAGGAAGUCAUCCAUUGAUAAAAUUCAUGGUUGUCAUGUAAUAUUGCAGCCUAGAGAGAAAAAUGUACAACUCAAGACCAGGGAACCCUUGUACUGUAGUUGAUUUUGCAAUAUCGCCAAGAAUACCCCCAUUUGGCAUUUGGCAUUUGGGUCAACAAUAUUAAGUCUUUGUAUUAGUUAUUGUAGUUAAGGGUCUUGCUGCUAUUUUUCCUUGGAAGUAUAUCAAGCCAAUUAAUAGUAGACAAGGAUAGGGUCAUGACUUUCAAUAUUGAACAUACUCUAUAACGGACAAAGCCAGAGAGAAAUAAGAGAAUUGUAUGAGGGUUUAAAUGUUUAUUAAAGAUAUUUGGUGGUAGAAAUUAUCCUUUUAUUCUCACAAUCACUUGAAGUUGGAGCAUGUGACACGGCAUGGAUCGAUGUGUUAGGCAUGGCCCCCACGUGCCUUCGAUGGGAGAUAUCCCUUCCAUACCUUCUCAGGUUAUAAAUGAGGAAAAAUGUCUCUUCCCAUAUGCUUUUCUGUAUCUCAAAUAUAUCAAUUCUAGAAGGAUUGAAACUCAACCAAGCCUUUCAAAUAGGUGAUCAUCCAAUGAACCAGAUUUAAGGCCAUUAGUCCACCCAGUACUUGUUCCUGCAAUGAUAUCCCACAAUGAUGUCUUCAAAGUUGGCCAUAUCCCACUACUUGAUCUAGACUCUCAGAUUUAUUGUGCUGUGAUAUUAGAUCAUAGGGGAGCUAGCUAAUCAAAUUUGAAUCCUUUUCCAUAUCCUAAUUUUUUUGUCAAUUCCUUUGUAUUGACUUUUAAUUAAUAGGGUUAAUUUAUAGUCCCGAUUUCCUUGAACAAUGAAUGUUAAUGAAAAUUAUUACCUACAUAUACAACAAAUAAUCAUAUUUCUUAUAAUACUACUAUGUCCCUUUUUUCAUAAGAUCAGCAGGAUAACCCUGGAAAUUAAGACAAAGAAAACAAGGAGCCGACAUGCUUUGAAGUACUACUAUGAAUUUAUUAUACUUGGAAAUUAAGCAUCUCUCUUGAGUAUUUUUGAGUACAGAAGGAGAAUAAAACAAGAUCUUACUGAAAAACUACCUCAAUUAUAUCUUCCUUGGUCAGCUAAAAGCACAAAGUUGAUCUUAUUUGCACUGACCCAUGGUAUAUAUGCUGAUCAGCUUAUUACAUAUAUGUAGUACUUGCUUAGAGGUCGUUUCAUAAUGUUUAAUAAGGCCGUUGUCCCACAUAGUUGCCCGGUGGAUCGUAGUUGCAUGUGACGAACCACCACCCAUUGUUGCACUGAACCCUGGCGCACCCAAGGCGAACUGAGUUGCUCCAAACAACCUGAGUAUAGUGCAGGCACUCCCCACCAACGCAUGAGUUGGAGUUGUAGUCAUAAUUAGGCUUCUCCCCCACCCACAA